GGUCCGGUGGCGUGUAGUGGUAACGCACUCUGUUCGCGUAGCUGGCGGGAAACUGAAAUAAUGGAGGGACCGGAGUUCGAAUCUCCGACGGGCCU